CGGCUCCCACCCUCCUCGCCGCACCAGCGCACGCUGCCGUUCGCUCCUCCACCUGCAGGCGAUGCCGAUCCCGCGGUCUCCCUCCCCAAGAUCGCUCCGGAGCCCGCUGUCCUCCUCCACCUACAACGGGAGCAUGCAGGAGCAGCAACGAGCUAGAUCUUGUGUUGGCGCGGGAUCCAUCUGAGGUGCUCGAGCAGAGGCAUGGGAUGACGAUGCCCUUCCCUUUGUGCCCCCACUCCCGGCGUCGCCGCCAUAUGGGACAUCAGUAACAAACCAUAUGCAGGAUUUGAUUCGGUACAAGGGGUUCAUCGUGCCAGGCUCCUCUUUUCUGCUGCUUCCAUGCAACGACGGCGGCGGUGCUGUUCGACAUCGACUACAAAAACAACCAUGGUGUUCCUUCAUUUUUGUGAGGAUCGAAAUUUGGCUGAUGCUUGUAUUGAAAUUAAAUUUGGAAUUUUUUCAUUCAUGGGGACAUGGUGGCUAGUUAGGGUGCCACGAUCAACAUAUCACUAUGGCAGACGUAUGGAUUAAAUGAUAACAUGGGACUGUGGGGUCACUCAACUAAUUUCAUUCACUGCUAGACUACUAUCUGUACCACAUACUAUCACAUUCAUCAUUUUUAUGGUUUGUUAUGGUAUUCUUCUGGCCACUUGUGUUUAAAUUUUGUCCAAACUCAGGAAGACUUGAUAUGUUCCUCGAAAGUUCAGGUUUAAGGAUCAAAAGAUCAUCAGGGUAUAAUUAUGGAAAACAAAGAGUUGUCAGUGUAUUCUAAUGAUAAGGAACUUCACAAGAAUACCCUGCAUAUCAUAACAGCGCACUCUUGAAGCCAAUUCAGAUCUCAGCCAUCAUGAUAUAGGUGUCAAUGGCAAAUAAUCAUUUUCUUCUUGCAAGCCUCAAUGGCAAGAAUGGCAUAUUAUGCAGAGAAAGAGGAUGAGAAGAAACUUGUGCUUCUCAUUUAAUCUUUGUCAAACUCUCUUUAUGUGCGAUUGUGCACUUGUUGGGUCCUUUUUCUGUACACUUGCACCUGCAGAAGUAUUCUGUUGUGCACUUGUAAAAUUAUUUUGAUGUCACUUGUUAGGCCUUGAAGCUUAAUGUGUGGAGGAGUCGGUGGAUGAUGUAUUGUAUUUCAUGUGAUGUGGUACUGAAAUGAAAUAUACAGUUUAUCUGCAA